AGCAGCCGCGGUAAUUCCAGCUCCAAUAGCGUAUAUUAAAGUUGUUGCAGUUAAAAAGCUCGUAGUUGAAUUUCGGGAUCAAUUUGCUGGUCGUGCCUUCGGUACGCACUGGUAUUAUUGGUUUCUCCUUUCUGAUGAAUCGCGAUGUCAUUAAUUUGGUGUCGUGGGGAAUCAGGACUGUUACUUUGAAAAAAUUAGAGUGUUUAAAGCAGGCUCACGCUUGAAUACAUUAGCAUGGAAUAAUGAAAUAGGACGUUUGAUUCUAUUUUGUUGGUUUCUAGGAUCGACGUAAUGAUUAAUAGGGAUAGUUGGGGGCAUUAGUAUUCAAUUGUCAGAGGUGAAAUUCUUGGAUUUAUUGAAGACUAACUACUGCGAAAGCAUUUGCCAAGGAUGUUUUCAUUAAUCAAGAACGAAAGUUAGGGGAUCGAAGACGAUCAGAUACCGUCGUAGUCUUAACCAUAAACUAUGCCGACUAGGGAUCGGAUGAUGUUAAUUUUUAAUGA
rnacentral:rRNA from 1 species